GUGAGUAACACGUGAGUAACCUGCCCUUGACUCUGGGAUAAGCCUGGGAAACUGGGUCUAAUACCGGAUACGACCAUCUGACGCAUGUCAUGGUGGUGGAAAGCUUUUGCGGUUUUGGAUGGACUCGCGGCCUAUCAGCUUGUUGGUGGGGUAAUGGCCUACCAAGGCGACGACGGGUAGCCGGCCUGAGAGGGUGACCGGCCACACUGGGACUGAGACACGGCCCAGACUCCUACGGGAGGCAGCAGUGGGGAAUAUUGCACAAUGGGCGAAAGCCUGAUGCAGCGACGCCGCGUGAGGGAUGACGGCCUUCGGGUUGUAAACCUCUUUCAGUAGGGAAGAAGCGAAAGUGACGGUACCUGCAGAAGAAGCGCCGGCUAACUACGUGCCAGCAGCCGCGGUAAUACGUAGGGCGCAAGCGUUAUCCGGAAUUAUUGGGCGUAAAGAGCUCGUAGGCGGUUUGUCGCGUCUGCUGUGAAAGACCGGGGCUCAACUCCGGUUCUGCAGUGGGUACGGGCAGACUAGAGUGCAGUAGGGGAGACUGGAAUUCCUGGUGUAGCGGUGAAAUGCGCAGAUAUCAGGAGGAACACCGAUGGCGAAGGCAGGUCUCUGGGCUGUAACUGACGCUGAGGAGCGAAAGCAUGGGGAGCGAACAGGAUUAGAUACCCUGGUAGUCCAUGCCGUAAACGUUGGGCACUAGGUGUGGGGGACAUUCCACGUUUUCCGCGCCGUAGCUAACGCAUUAAGUGCCCCGCCUGGGGAGUACGGCCGCAAGGCUAAAACUCAAAGGAAUUGACGGGGGCCCGCACAAGCGGCGGAGCAUGCGGAUUAAUUCGAUGCAACGCGAAGAACCUUACCAAGGCUUGACAUGAACCGGAAAGACCUGGAAACAGGUGCCCCGCUUGCGGUCGGUUUACAGGUGGUGCAUGGUUGUCGUCAGCUCGUGUCGUGAGAUGUUGGGUUAAGUCCCGCAACGAGCGCAACCCUCGUUCUAUGUUGCCAGCGCGUUAUGGCGGGGACUCAUAGGAGACUGCCGGGGUCAACUCGGAGGAAGGUGGGGACGACGUCAAAUCAUCAUGCCCCUUAUGUCUUGGGCUUCACGCAUGCUACAAUGGCCGGUACAAAGGGUUGCGAUACUGUGAGGUGGAGCUAAUCCCAAAAAGCCGGUCUCAGUUCGGAUUGGGGUCUGCAACUCGACCCCAUGAAGUCGGAGUCGCUAGUAAUCGCAGAUCAG
rnacentral:rRNA from 1 species